CGCCGACCGAACAAGGACGGGAGCCGACUUCGGUGGAAGUCGUGACAAUAUCCCUAAUUCUGAACCUGUUGUGCUUUAUUCUCAAGAGACCUGGAGUUGUAUUUUCAACAUCAUAAUGUACUAAACAUGUUAACCUGUGAAUUCUACUUUUUAUAGAACUGUGAAGAGGAAAAGCCACUGAAACAAGUCAGAGAUGAGUCGAAACCAGAGGAGGGAUUCUCAGGAAGAAACAGGGAAACAUCCCAAGUACAUUUUCAGUGGUGGAAGAGACCCUCCAGUGUUGCUGUAGUGUGUGUUCUACUGGCUGUCAUCAUAGGCCUGUGGGAUUCCUAUGCAGAAAGAGACCAGCUACAGACCAGUUACAACACCCUGACUGAAGAGAGAGACCAGCUACAGAAUAGUCUAAAUACCAGGACCACUGAGAGAGACCAGUUA